UUUUUUACUCUUAAGUCAUAUUCUAAAACAAAUGAAAGAGUUACCAUGGGAGAAAUUACUAUGAAUGUGGUGAAUAUUGUUAAUAAGACAACUUAAAAUGAAUACAUGUGGAAGAAACCCUACUAAUAUAUGUAGGGAGUGUGUGGAAAUAUAAAUUAAGGCUUAUUAAAUAACUUCAGUAGGAGAUAAUCUUAUGAAUCAAACAGAUGUGAGAAAAUUUUCUUCUAGAAGUUGGCCACUACUAAUAGAUAUACCACACCUGGGGGAAGCUGUCAACAUCUUAUAUGUUUUUUGAGACCUUCAUACACAAGUUGUACUUAUUGCAUGUCAGGUAAAUAAUAGGGAUGAUAUCAAUAACCCAGCCUAUGUUAAAAAAUGCCAUUUUAUUGAACAAGAAAAUUGAUACUAAGUUGAAAUCUUAAAGAUUUUUUGAAUGUGAUGGUUUUAACAGAAUUCAGAUUUUAUUAUAGCUGAAGUUU
rnacentral:lncRNA from 1 species